AACGCAUAAGUGAAAUGUAAAGCCACAUAUCGUUUGAAUAAUUUAACGUUUGAACAAUGCGUUUGCAAGAAAAAGAAGUCGAUGGCUACUAUGAUUUCUUUGUAAUGUACAAGUGUUACAUAUGGUACGUAUAGCAUUGAUUAGCGAUAAAAGAAGAAAAAAUGAGAGAAAAAAAAAAGAAGAAUGAGGACAAAGUAAGUAUAUUGGAAAAGAUUCGCAAUGACAUAAAAUACGGUCAGAUAAAAACAGAUUCACGAACAUUUAUCUAUAUUCGAGUCGAGCAUGAAUGUUAAAGAAGAAGUUUUAUCGAUUUAAUGGUCCGUUGUACAAUUAUAUAUAUAUAAAAAAAAAAAACACGUUAAUACACGUAGGUUCUCUCGUUCUCGAAUUUCAAAUAUCCCGCCAUUAUGUUUCUUUUCAAAAUGGUCGUCGUUCUCUCCGUGCGAUCGAAGCUACCAGAAUUUUUUUUUUGUUUUUACUAAUAAUCAUGCAAUAUUUAGAUCUUUAUGUCGUCAGAUUAGAUUAGAAUUUCAUCAAGAAUGCAAAACGUAAUCGUUUACAAAUCGAAAUUAGUCACCCGUUAUAUUAGCGCGAGCAUUGUAAGUACGUAACUUAUACAACUAACGACUGCAUCGAAGGAAUUAUAUACGGUUGUGCGUGGAACAGGUGGUUAGAGAAGGAUAGAAAGAGGAAAACAAGAAAAAUGAUAAGAGAAAGAGAGAGAUAAAGAUAUUCGUGCGUAGUUACGGAGUUGAUCUUAUAAUAAUAUUUGUUCACGUUGAAGAAAUUUGAUAUAAAUCAUCGAGAUAUGAAGACUUUUGUGCGUCGCACCAAAAUUGUAUUACUCGAUGAAGGAGAAAAAAAUCGAAGUUAUCGAUUGGCGUUCGAUCGAUCGUAAGAUACGUAAUGAAUAACCAAUGAACGUCAGAUCUCGUCAUUGCUGUCGACCAAUUAAAAUUCAUAGGCGAACAGGUCUCCGUGGUUUCGACCAAUCAGGUGCAGUCAAUGUAUGCGAAAAAAUCGUCAACGGUCAAAGGUAUUCGUGCAUGGACGCGUUACAGAUCGAUGAUUAGAAUAAAUCAUUGGAAGGUUGCUCUCGAGAAGGAUAAAAAAUAAGUUGCAUGUAUUUUCAUGCAACGAGAAAAGAAUACGCGAGGAAAGAUCUUGGAGAUUCAUCGUUGCAGUGAAUAAUAAGAAGCAAAAAAUGAUUGGAAAACAAACGGAUUCCAAGAGAGAUAGAAGGAUGAAAGUUAGAGACUCACCAAACUGGCCAAUCGCCAAAGACGAGGAUCCACAGCAGAGUAGAACGACGAGGAACAGCAAUACGUAAGGCCAUUGUGAGGGAGAAGAAGAACCGGUCGCCUCGUAGUCG